UACGUAGGGAGCAAGCGUUGUCCGGAAUCAUUGGGCGUAAAGCGCGCGUAGGUGGCCCCAUAAGUCCGCUGUGAAAGUCAAAGGCUCAACCUUUGAAAGCCGGUGGAUACUGUGGGACUAGAGUACGGAAGAGGCGAGUGGAAUUCCUGGUGUAGCGGUGGAAUGCGCAGAUAUCAGGAGGAACACCAAUAGCGAAGGCAGCUCGCUGGGACGAUACUGACGCUGAGGCACGAAAGCGUGGGGAGCAAACGGG
rnacentral:rRNA from 1 species